GUUUGAUCAUGGCUCAGAUUGAACGCUGGCGGCAUGCCUUACACAUGCAAGUCGAACGGCAGCGCGGACUUCGGUCUGGCGGCGAGUGGCGAACGGGUGAGUAAUGUAUCGGAACGUGCCCUAGAGUGGGGGAUAACGUAGCGAAAGUUACGCUAAUACCGCAUACGAUCUAUGGAUGAAAGUGGGGGACCGCAAGGCCUCACGCUCAUGGAGCGGCCGAUAUCUGAUUAGCUAGUUGGUAGGGUAAAAGCCUACCAAGGCGACGAUCAGUAGCUGGUCUGAGAGGACGACCAGCCACACUGGGACUGAGACACGGCCCAGACUCCUACGGGAGGCAGCAGUGGGGAAUUUUGGACAAUGGGGGAAACCCUGAUCCAGCAAUGCCGCGUGUGUGAAGAAGGCCUUCGGGUUGUAAAGCACUUUUGUCAGGAACGAAACGGUGGGGGCUAAUAUCCUCUGCUAAUGACGGUACCUGAAGAAUAAGCACCGGCUAACUACGUGCCAGCAGCCGCGGUAAUACGUAGGGUGCAAGCGUUAAUCGGAAUUACUGGGCGUAAAGCGUGCGCAGGCGGUUGUGCAAGACAGAUGUGAAAUCCCCGGGCUUAACCUGGGAAUUGCAUUUGUGACUGCACGGCUAGAGUGUGUCAGAGGGGGGUAGAAUUCCACCUGUAGCAGUGAAAUGCGUAGAUAUGUGGAGGAAUACCGAUGGCGAAGGCAGCCCCCUGGGAUAACACUGACGCUCAUGCACGAAAGCGUGGGGAGCAAACAGGAUUAGAUACCCUGGUAGUCCACGCCCUAAACGACGUCUACUAGUUGUCGGGUCUUAAUUGACUUGGUAACGCAGCUAACGCGUGAAGUAGACCGCCUG
rnacentral:rRNA from 1 species